UCCCUGGUAGUCCAGUGGUUAGGACUCAGCACUCUCACUGCUGUGGCCCGGGUUCAACCCCUGGUUAGGGAA